CCAAGAGGAGCAUCUCUGAGGAAUGAGGACCUGGAAGAUGGGGAAUCUUACCUGCUUGGCUCUCUUUCCUUGGCCUCCCCUCCAGAACACUCUUGAAAAGCUUUCCUGUGCCCCAGUGAUAUUGCCAAAUUAAGUCCUUGGUGAGAGAAAUUCAGAACCACCAUCCUGGCAGAGUGAAGUGGUAAAGGUGGAAAAAGUAAGCUUCAACUAGUGGAUCAUGUCGCCAGUAGAAACCAUAAACCACAGAGGAGAGGAAGCCGGUAGUUUGAAGAUACAG
rnacentral:lncRNA from 1 species